rnacentral:rRNA from 1 species
AUUGAACGCUGGCGGCAGGCCUAACACAUGCAAGUCGAGCGGAUGAUGGGAGCUUGCUCCUUGAUUCAGCGGCGGACGGGUGCGUAAUGCCUAGGAAUCUGCCUGGUAGUGGGGGACAACGUUUCGAAAGGAACGCUAAUACCGCAUACGUCCUACGGGAGAAAGCAGGGGACCUUCGGGCCUUGCGCUAUCAGAUGAGCCUAGGUCGGAUUAGCUUGUUGGUGAGGUAAUGGCUCACCAAGGCGACGAUCCGUAACUGGUCUGAGAAGAUGAUCAGUCACACUGGAACUGCGACACGGUCCAGACUCCGACGGGAGGCAGCAGUGGGGAAUAUUGGACAAGGGGCGAAAGCCUGAUCCAGCCAUGCCGCGUGUGUGAAGAAGGUCUUCGGAUUGUAAAGCACUUUAAGUUGGGAGGAAGGGUUGUAGAUUAAUACUCUGCAAUUUUGACGUUACCGACAGAAUAAGCACCGGCUAACUCUGUGCCAGCCGCCGCAGUAACAC